GUGAAUCAUCGAAUCUUUGAACGCAACUUGCGCUCUCUGGUAUUCCGGAGAGCAUGCCUGUUUGAGUGUCAUGAAAUCUCAACCAUUAGGGUUUCUUAAUGGCUUGGAUUUGGGUGUUGCCAGUCUCUUGGCUCACCUUAAAGGAGUUAGCGAGUUUAACAAUGUCGUCUGGCGUAAUAAGUUUCGCUGGUAAGACUUGUGAAGUUUGCUUCUAAUCGUCUUCGGACAAUUACUUUGACUCUGGCCUCAAAUCAGGUAGGACUACCCGCUGAACUUAAGCAUAUCAAUAAGCGGAGGA
rnacentral:misc_RNA from 1 species